rnacentral:lncRNA from 1 species
AGACCAUGCAAGGUUCUGCAGGUGUCCCACCCUUCUCCCACCACAUGGAUGCGUUAAAAGGUAUUAUAACAAUUUGGUUUUUCUGCCUUUAGGAGUUCAUCUUAAUUCUUACUCAGUUUUCUUCCGCUCUGUUUCCCUUAUUCGUUUUGGAGGUUUCUUUCCUCUUUCGUUUUUACACUAAUAUCUGAUCCUUUCCUGCUGAUACGUAUGUGCUUGUGCGAGAUUGCAUGUGGGUUUGUCUGUCACUGAAUGCAUGCUUCUGUGGUUGUUUACAAGUGCUACUGUAGCUGCAGGACAACUUUAAAAGAACGAACUCUAUUAGCUAUGUGUGUUUCUGCUCCAUUGUAUUUUACUACCCUGUAAUGCCUCUCUCAAAACUAAAUUUCAUUGGGGUCAUGGCUCUGGCUGCUCGUUGCAUAAUUUAGUCCUGUAUUUUAUUAUGUUUAUCAGCGCUGAACUCUUAAGGUGGAAGGGGAUGAAGUGUAUUAUGCAUGCUGUGCGUAAAGCUUUUAAUAUGUGUAUCUUUGACGUUUGUCAGUAGCUUUCAGUCAAAUCAAGUCUAGAAAUACAUAGCAGCAUCUUAACGGUAACAGUAGGAGUGUUGUGGGAUUCGGGUGUGAUGAUGAGUGUGAAAGAGUUGGAGAUUAGCAGUUUUUUUUGUGUUUACUUUAAUUUUUGUCACUUUGCCCAGCAUUUGUUACACAGUGACCCAAUUCAAAGGAUUAUUAUUAGUGGGUAGUUCUCUCGCCAUGUGCCAUAUCGUUAAUGCUUUCAUCAUUAAAAAGUAAAAUUAUAAACCAGAGAAGGAUCAAAUCUGCUUAAGACCAAAGUCCAUGCUUUGCUGAAGAGAAAUAAUUGAAAUGGCAGCAAUAUUGCUCAUUACUCUGGAUCCUGCUACGUGUGUGUGUGUAUGUGUGUAUGUGUGUGAGAAGAGAGCACAUGUCUCGUAUGUAAGGCGCUGUGUUGGCGAACGCCCAAUCCACCCCUCUCCUGCUCUUCCUUGUAAUGAAGGUACAGCGUAAAAUGAAACUCCCUUAUUUUAUACAGAUUUACUGUACUUUUUUUCUGAACUCAGCAGAAUCUUCAGUUCAUGAAUUGUGCUAAUUGGGCAUUCAACAUAUCGUGUAUGUAAUCCAAGAAAUUGAGCAGUGGUUUGAAUUUACGGGUAUGACUAGGCUAAAAUGUCGAAUCCAUUAUUUGGUUUCAGUGUAACCCAAGGUUUUCCUUAACCGGAUUUACAUAUUUGGCUCACUUUUCUAGCUUUUGUGCAUUUUCAAGGCCAGUAUUGUUGAUCAUAUUUUUAACAGUUUUUGAGUUUUCUGGACGGCCUACCCUUAUUGUCUAUAAGCGGUUUUCGGAAUCCAUCUGGGUGAUCCCAUCCCUGUGUGGAAAUCGAAUUGGUGACCAUGCGUCCAAACAUACCUCACAAAUAUCCUUAAAAUCCACCCCGCAAAUCUCUUUUCACAACAUCUCCCUUCAUCCCUUUCCUUCUGCUCAUCCUUUUGCUUAAAUCUGCAUUCUCUCCCUCUGUUUUGGGGCUUGUAUUGACCUGUUAAUAGUAUUAUCCACAGAGCGUGUGGCAGGGCCAGGGUCACCUCCCUCUAGGGUUUGGAUGGUCAGCCCCUGGCCAAGGUUUGGUCAGUGAGCGGCCAAUAGGACCUAAGCUCUGGCCAUCCUUCAAUCUAGCUCCUUUCACAGCAGAGGUCACACGAGUCAAAGGGUAAUAAGUUUAACCCCUCGAGGGGUGAGGAGUCAGAGGUCAUAUGAAAGGCUAUAGGGAGAAGGUUUGCAUCAUCAAUCAGUGGCACUCCUGGUUAUAUCUCUGCAUAUCGAUGACACUUGCUCGUUUCUGCCAAUCUCAUUUGCAUGGCUUGCUAAGCACAAAGGGCGGCUAUUGUAGUCAAACAAAUUUGAACAAAUAUAAGAUAAAAAUGGAGGGAGACCAGUUUUUUGUCAGGUUUUAGUGCCAUUGAAAUAUUCUUUGUCAGAGAUGUUAUUUAGAUCCUUUUGGAGUAAUUUAAUCUCACUACGUAAUGCAGACAUUUAAUUAAGUUCCUUUUUAGUGUGCUGAAAUGCCGUCCACUUUUGUAACAGAUGCUUUAAAUGUAAACUUCUAUGAUUAAGGGCUAUAAGAAAUUAUUUUCUUGUCAGGGAAAAAAAAAUCUUCUGGACGAUUUACAGAGUCGUUUUGUUUAAUUGGGUUUAUUUGUAGGAAGUGUGGAUGUUGAAGUGCACUUGCGCAGUCUUCUCAGUCUCACAGUUAUCUUUGAAUGCUUUCAACAAUCAAGUCUCUAAACACAACAAUGACUCUAUGUCAAUUUCUUAAAUUCUGCUGAGGAUGAGCAAGUGUACUCCUCCUUGUAAAACCGAAAUGGUGCGGUGCUGAUGUUUCAGCAUCUCCCAGAGGUCUCCUCUCCCUGGCUGAUGUUAGCGAUGUGUCAGCAUUAAGCUAGGCCUGCCUGCUAGGAUGCUCAGGCCGUGGUGGCGACCAGCCCAGCCUGGCCAAAAGCCAGACCAGACAUGUCCUGGCAUUAGACAACAGAGACGUGACAGGAUCAAGGAGUGGAGGAAAAAUAUGCUCAUACAGUUUACAGUAUUGUUGAUCUAUGCUAUCAAUAAAGUACAGCGAUACGCAUGUUUGAAAGAUUUUUCAGAUUAAAGAUUUUUGUUUCUGCUGCUUUGUGUUUUUGAUCCAACAGUGCAUCAUGAAGGAAGAAAGCAACAAUGGGAAGGAAACAAGGGAUUAAAGAGGACGUUCGACAGGGGAUCCCAGGCCGGAGCAGGGUGUCAUGGUUACUUGGUAUGUUCCUUCGCCAAAUGAGCCACAGUGAGACAUCUAAUGUGUACUACUCUCAGGGAAGCCCCACGUGCACAUUACACAAAUGGGAUGAAGUGCAUAUAUGUUGGACAGAGCACACUGGAGGAUGUGUGCAUGCCAUUAAGUGUGUGAACGAGAGAGAUGUACAUGUUGCUCAGUCAGCUCUUGCACAGACAGAGACCAUCAAUCACAAAUGCACGCUGAGCCGCAUUGCUCUUUUCCUGGUCCCUCAAGUCCUUUCUCUGGGCUGGAAUUACACAGCACUUUACCUGCAGCACUGCAUUUUCUGGACUUUGUCUUUACCCUGCGCCGUAACUCAAGCGCCACAAUUGUGCGGUCACGUCUUUUUAAACUCUGACCAGAGAUUAAAUUUUACGGUGAAACUUAUAAAUCAGCCACAUACACACAGUCAGCACGAGGUUUUGCUGUUUCUCUCAGUUUUGAUUCUCGCGUUGCAGUGACAUGCAAACAAGGUGAAGUCUGUAAUGUCUGAGGCAUUCAAAAUGCACUGCAGAGAGCAGUCAUUUAUUGUGUUUGCAUCUCACCUCUCUCCAUACCAUAAGCAUAAUAGCUCAUCAUUUGCUGUAGAAUGCGCUUCCCUUGCUUAAAUCAUUUUCACCUAUUUUACGAGCCCCACAACAAAGCUUGUGCAUCGCUGUGUGGCAUCUUAUUUUCCUGCAUGUACCCUAUGUCAGUCCUGAAGAGCGCUGAGUACACCUUACUGCCAUGAGAACUAUUAUACCUUUUAUUUAACUAAAAUCAUUUAGUAGGCACAUCCAUCCAUGCAUGUUUUCUCUUUGUAUUGCUCAAAAAUGUUAAAUUGCAACUGUAUGGUUACAUGAAAGUAUCUCAUUUUCUGUAAAUCUGCAGGAAACUUUAAACUAAAUAAUUAUAAACCAGGAAUAAGCUCCAUGGCGGGUGGGGGCCAACUGUAUUUGAUGGAUGAGAGUAAAGACCUUGAGUUUGGGAUAAGACGGGGUAGAGUAUGUGGCGGCCGGGUGGAUUUUGCAAUACCUGCUGCAGUUUUUUGAGAGGGCGUGUGAUAAGUAGCAGGUGGACUGGUUAUUGUCGUGAUAAGAGCAGGUGAUUGAUCAUUUGGUCAAGGUCUGGACUGUCCCCCAAAGUUUGAUCAGCUGAAAGGUUCACUUCAUAGUUAUCUCCCGAACUUCAGCAGUGACUAUCUUGCUGUGUGAAAAAAGCUGAGCAUUCACAAGUGCUGAACCAGGACAAAAAAAACUUAAACUUCCCUUUAAAUUUAUUUGGUCACUCCAUAAAAAAUAUUUCUUGAGUGCAGAAAACAUCUUUUGAUUCUAAUUUGGCCUCGUAACUUUACUGAUAAAAUUUAAAGGUACUUAAUAUUCAACCAUGUGACAGGGACAGAAGUGUCUGUUUUUCAUAAAGCUGCUGUUUUUCAAAUCGAUGUAAAAAGAUAUCCACCCUUUGUAAGGUCCUACUAAUGUCAUACUGCACCCAGGCUAUCAGGAGGGGCUAUUCAUAAAGGUCACUUAUCACUGCUCGCUUUGUUGUGAUGCUGCCAAUUAAACAGCCAAUAACUGAGCCUGUGAAACACGACCUAAUUACAAUGUUUUGUUGGGAGUUUUAUUGUCAGAAUUGGAAAUAUGUCUUACACAAAAUAUAGGAUUUGUGUGUUAAUUCAUGAAAAUGUAAAACUAUGAACUGAAGUAUUACCAAGAACUUUAAAAAACUUGUGAACAUAUACAUAUGUAUAGAACAGACGUCAGUGGAAAAAUUAGAUUAGAUAUGAAUCAAGGUCAUGAUAGUUUAGUUGGGGACUGCAGGUUUAAGAUUAUACUCAUGCUAACACUGUAAACACUUUUUCAACAGUUUAAUACUCUGUUAACUCUGUGGUGUUCUUCCCCCUUUAGAGAGGUAUGAGGAGACUCUUGAUAUAGGCUUAUGAGAAAUGUUUUUUUAUUGACUUCAAUCAUACAUCAUGAAGAAAAAAUCCUUUUUCAACUAUUUUAUAAAAUCAAGGUUAAUGUAUAGGUUAAGAAAGUAAGAAUUGAGUACCGUACUUAGAUUUUUAAGAAAAUAAAAAAUAAAGACAGCAGGAACUAAUUUACUUAAAGCUUCUUCCAGGGAUCUGUUUUAUAAAUCAGGCUCACAUAGGAAAAGGAUAUUCUUUCUGGAGUUGCUUUAAGUUAGGAUUCAGCUGAGCCCCAAGCAAGCUGUAAGAUGUUUAGAUGUAGUUGCGCUGUUUGUAAGUCUUGGUGAGUCAGUUUUAAGCUGAGGAGAGAAGUUAGAAUUGUGAGGCAGCAGCAGCCAGAGCUGGUGCUGUGUAUUAAAUCAAGGUGAGUAACUGGGACCUUGAAAUGACCAGAGGCCUGUAACAGAAUGCUCCCAAGGAAAAGGCCAGUCCUCCAAUGGACCUAAAUUGACUCCCCGCUCAUUUACAUGAGACAUAAAUUCACAUUUAAAUGGCAGAAAAUUACUCGGGUGGCUGAUACACUGAGGCAUAUGAAAUUAUAAUUGUAGUCAGCACCGUGUAUGUGUGCGCGGGUGAUAUAAGAUAGAGGAGCUGUGUGGAGGAAUUAUGCGUCCAAUAACUGAGAUGGGAUGUAAAUAUGGUCAGGACAGUCAGUGGUCUGAUGUGCUGUCGGCCCAUUUCAUCGGAGACUGCAGAGCCGGAGCUAAAUGGCAGCCAGUCUCACAACAAGCAAAUAGGUUGGUGAGCUGUAUGAGAGUGUUUUUGUAUGUAAUGAACAAUCAAGUCCAAAAAGAUUGUUAGCCGAUAGUAGAAUAUUUUCAAAUAGGUAAGAUCUGUCAGGCCUGCAACAACCAAUUGUUUUAUUAUAAAUCUCCCAAUUAAACUUUCAAUUCAAUCGCUCGGUUUCUUGAAUGUCAAGAACUGAAGAAGAAAAAAUGUUUUUUAGAUUUUUCGGGGUCCUAAAGUUUGAUUUCAGAUAUUUACUUUUGUCCGACCAACAGCUGGAAACACAAAGAUAUUUAGUGACUGUAUUACUGAAAACAGCAAAUCCUUACACUCAACAAAAAAGGGCGAGACCUUUUUUUCCCCCAAAAUAAUAGAUAAAUGGGAGAAAUGAGACAUGGUUGAAAAACCGCUCUUCUGCAGUUGCACCAUUGUAGUCUGAUUCCUUUUCUCCACCAUGGUCUUCAUUGUGCCCCCUCUCUCAUCCCACUAUCUUGCCCCUUGUUCCCCCCUUUCUCUCAGCAUUUCUUUCUUCUAUCUUUACAGUAGCGUUCCUCCAACGGAAAGAUCAGGGCUCAUACACAUGUCACAUCAGUUCAUGGAGAUCCACAUUGUUUUUAGCCACUGUGCACCUCUGGGAGGUCUGUGGGUUGUCUGUCUUUCUCAGUGUGAGCUUGCAUCCCCCAAAUGCAACCCCACAGCAGUCGACACCGCUCCUGCGCACUAUGCUGCACAAUCGACUAACUCACAUAUUGUAUGUGUACUGGUCAUCUACAUUUCUCUGCAAUAAUUCUCAGACUGCACUUUUUUUUCUAUCUGAAUCUCACCACAUGUCAUUCAGUCCAAACUGGACCAUCAACAAACAGUACAAUAUGACCCACCAGGAGGCCCCUUACAGACCUGUUUCAUAAUUUGCACUGCUCUGCCUAUUGUAUCGGCCUCCUUUGAAAAAUUUACCUCCAACCAAUACAAUGCGUCAGUCUUUUUGUUAGAGGAAGACAAUUGCUUGUAAGGAGAAGGUCCUGGGCCUUAAUGAAGUGCUAAAGAACACACAUUGGCUACUGGGCACAAAGGUCACUCAGUAGUCCUAACGCUAGAUGACAGCUAACGGAGCAGACCACACUGUGAAAGGACGGAGACUAAAGUUCAUAUGGUGAUAUCAUUAUUUUAUUGUUCGGAGCCGUAUGUAGAAACCAGUUAAGCGUAAAAUUAAUUUAUAAAACAACUGAAAUUAGAAUAGCCAUUGACGAGUCACAGUGAGGGACUAACUGAAGAAAACAAUGAUCUGGGAUUUGAAUAGCUCGUCCUAGUCAGACCAGUAACGUACAACAGGAACUUUCCACAACAACCCCUCUUUACCUUUAGGUCUAAAAAAAAGGACUUCACUUGUAUAAUAAAGAUAUUUUCUAGUCAGAGCAAAAACAUAAAACUGUUAAUACCUGCUAAGAUCAGUUAUCAAGUCCUGCUCACUGGUUUUUAAUCAAAUGAAGUCACAGUUGUACAUGCCCAAUAGUUGGGCUAGAGGUGUAUAGUUCCUUAAAAAAGCUUUCUUAUCUUUUUACUGUCUAAGGUAAUUUUAGUUGAUAAGGUAACCUGGAACUUAUCAACUCUUUUUGAAAAGCACAUAUUUCUGUUUGAUGCGUCAGUUUAGUGUUUGCGAGCGAGUUUACCCCGUAUCUCAGUCAAGGUUCAAAAGCAAAGCCCUCAAAGUGUUUUCCCAUUUAUUUCUAAUUACUCUAAAAGACUCCUGAAAAUGACUAUUUUUUUGUCCAUGAAACAAAACUCUAAAAAGUCUAUUUUAAUUUGCAGUUACAGCAGAGCAGCAGGCGGAGAAGCACUAGGGGGUUGAAUACUUCUGUGAGGCUCUUGUCAUGAGAUCAUCUAAGUUUUAGUCGCUGCAUCAAAGUUUUUGAAUGAACACAUUUUUUUAACAAUCCACUGAGCAGAUACCUUGUACCUUUCCUCUGGAGAAUCAACGUGUGCCGUUAUAAAUACAACAAUUACUCGCAGAUCAUUUAACCUGUGCAGCUUAAAGUCUUUGUCUGAAGAGAGGUGAGGUAUUGUUUCUUAUGUGAGGCUAAAAUGAUCUUUCAUUCUACCUUAAUAGCAGUAUUCCAUGAUUUUUAUGCUAAACUGUUGGGGGACAAGUUGGGGGGGCCUCAUGAUGUUGGGACAGAUGGCAUUUAGCUCUAGCUGUGCCGGGCUCAGUGGGACCCGAAGCUUAAGAGGUUAGGCCUGUCAAAACCACUCUGUUCAUUCACUGCCUAACAAAGUGUGGACUGUCAGCCUGUUCCGUUUAAUAAACUUAAGAUUUUUCUUUUGUCAACGCCUGAGCAACACUUUGCAACUCGAUGACCUGAAUAUCCCAACAUGCACUGAGGCUCAAUGGGAAAGAUGGCACACCUCUGGCCCGAAACUUUCUGAAAUGUAUGGAUUUACGUCUGAUCUGGUCCAUAAAACUGUAAAAGCUGACAGUGCUUUGUGAGUAACUUUUUAAAAGUUUGGGUCAACAGUCUCUAUUAGCAAGAUCUAUAUGUAACCAUGGAACUGUGGAUGUAUUGAAAUUACUUGCCUAAGUGACUACAAGAACAAAAGGACGCUGAAUGUCAUUUUUUUAAGAGUUUACUUUGUAGUUAUGGACUUACUCUGGGAAAGAGUUAGAUCAGAUAUGAGUCAUAAGUUUAAGACUGGACUCAAUUCACUAUAGUUCCGUUUUUUCUGUAUGAAUGUGACUCUUGGGUCACUAGGAUGCUCAUUUUAUUUUACUUUUAUGUGGCACAAAUGUCCACAUCAGCUCAACUUUCACAGAAAAUAUACUUCACCACAAGAGGGAGACAUACUGUUACAUUCAGAGGGAUUCUCCACCUUACUGUACAUCGCCCACACACCGCUCAUCAUACUGGAAAUGCCCUGAAGCUACCCCAUGAAACCAUGAAAGUGCAGCAUCAUUGGUGAAAUGUUUAAUUUCUCCCCUCUCUUUCCCCCUUCUCUCAAUUUGUUUCAGUGUUUGUCGGGGUCAAAGGCUGAAGGCUGGUGAGUGGCGACCUAAGUGAGAGGCCGGGGUGACAUCUGACCUCUGACUGGGUGUGCUCCUGACCCUAGAGGAUACAGCUCAACAAUAGGAGGC